AGGGCACCACCAGGAGUGGAGCCUGCGGCUUAAUUUGACUCAACACGGGAAAACUCACCCGGCCCGGACACCGCGAGGAUUGACAGAUUGAUAGCUCUUUCAUGAUUCGGUGGAUGGUGGUGCAUGGCCGUUCUUAGUUCGUGGAGCGAUUUGUCUGGUUUAUUCCGAUAACGAGCGAGACUCUAGCCUACUAACUAGUCCGCAUGUUCGCUUGCUGCAUGCUUGGGACUUCUUAGAGGGAUUUUCGGCGUUUCAGCCGCACGAAACUGAGCAAUAACAGGUCUGUGAUGCCCUUAGAUGUCCCGGGCUGCACGCGCGCUACACUGGCGAAAUCAGCGUGCCUGUCCUCUCGCGAAAGCGACUGGUAAACCGGUGAAAAUUCGCCGUGAUUGGGAUCGGAAAUUGCAAUUAUUUUCCGUGAACGAGGAAUUCCAAGUAAGUGCGAGUCAUCAACUCGCGUUGAUUACGUCCCUGCCCUUUGUACACACCGCCCGUCGCUGCCCGAGACUGAGCCAUUUC
rnacentral:rRNA from 1 species